GACGAACGCUGGCGGCGUGCUUAACACAUGCAAGUCGAGCGAGGCCCCCCCUUCUGGGGGGUGUCCUAGCGGCGAACGGAUGAGUAAAACGUGGGCAACCUGCCCUCAGCUCUGGGAUAACUCUGGGAAACAGGGGCUCAUACAGGAUACGACCUCCACGGGCGUAUGCGGGGGGGGGAAGUUUUUCGGCUGGGGAGGGACGCGCGGCCUAUCAGCUAGUUGGUGGGGUAGUGGCAGACCAAGGAGGCGACGGGUAGCAGGCCUGAGAGGGUGACCGGCCACACUGGGACUGAGAUACGGCCCAGACUCCUACGGGAGGCAGCAGUGGGGAAUAUUGCGCAAUGGGCGGAAGCCUGAUGCAGCGACGCCGCGUGAGGGAUGACGGCCUUCGGGUUGUAAACCGCUUUCGGCAGGGACGAAGCGAAAGUGACGGUACCUGGAGAAGAAGCACCGGCUAACUACGUG
rnacentral:rRNA from 1 species